UCUUCUUGUUUUCCUGAGAUUCGUUGGAUAACACUUUCUAUUUCGGCCACAACUUCAGUUGUUUUUGUAAAUAUAGUUAAAGGAAAAUGAGAAACAAUCCUUUAGAAGUAGCAGGAGUCGUAUACAGGCUGAUGUGUACAUGUACAGAACGAAAAUAUUGUAUUGGAGAAACAGGAAGAAAACUUGAAAUGAGACUGAAACAGCAUGAGGCGGCAAUCUGCAGUAUAACAAACUGUAUUAUUGACCGAAAUAUUAAAAUAUUGUACAAAGUAAAAAAUCUUGUAAAAAGACGUGUUAUAGAACAUUACUGUAUCAAAGGAUAUGUAAAUUGUAUUAAUUUAAAUACCGGCGCAUGUGUUGAUGCAUGCUGUAAUAGCUUGAUAGAGUAUAAAAGUAUUGGCAAUGUAAGAUUGUAACGUCCACUGAUGAGGCUGAUAAGCGAAAUAUAUAUAGAUAAAAAAGAAAAAU